GAUGAACGCUAGCGGCAGGCUUAACACAUGCAAGUCGAGGGGCAGCACAGGUAGCAAUACUGGGUGGCGACCGGCAAACGGGUGCGGAACACGUACGCAACUUACCCUAAACAGAUGAAUAGCCCUCGGAAACGGGGAUUAAUACAUCGUAAACUAUAAGAGUGGCAUCAUUUUUAUAGAAUAGCUGAGGCGGUUUAGGAUGGGCGUGCGUCCCAUUAGCUAGUUGGUAAGGUAACGGCUUACCAAGGCGACGAUGGGUAACUGGUGUGAGAGCACGACCAGUCACACGGGCACUGAGACACGUGCCCGACUCCUACGGGAGGCAGCAGUGAGGAAUAUUGGUCAAUGGACGCAAGUCUGAACCAGCCAUGCCGCGUGAAGGAUGAAGGCGUUCUGCGUUGUAAACUUCUUUUAUCAGGGAAGAAACCUCAGUAUUCUUAUUGAGCCGACGGUACCUGACGAAUAAGCACCGGCUAACUCCGUGCCAGCCGCCGCCGUAAUAC
rnacentral:rRNA from 1 species